UACAGAGGUCCCGAGCGUUGUUCGGAUUCACUGGGCGUAAAGGGUGCGUAGGCGGGUCUUUAAGUCAGGGGUGAAAUCCUGGAGCUCAACUCCAGAACUGCCUUUGAUACUGAGGAUCUUGAGUUCGGGAGAGGUGAGUGGAACUGCGAGUGUAGAGGUGAAAUUCGUAGAUAUUCGCAAGAACACCAGGGGCGAAGGCGGCCGACUGGCCGAGUGCUGACGCUGAGGCGCGACGGCGUGGGGAGCAAACCGG
rnacentral:rRNA from 1 species